rnacentral:rRNA from 1 species
AGAUUGAACGCUGGCGGCAUGCCUAACACAUGCAAGUCGAACGGGAGUAGCAAUACUCUAGUGGCGGACGGGUGAGGAAUACGUAGGAAUUUGCCCUUAAGUGGGGGAUAACCCGGGGAAACCCGGAUUAAUACCGCAUGACCUCGAAAGAGCAAAGUGGGGGAUCGCAAGACCUCACGCUUUUGGAGAAGCCUACGUCGGAUUAGCUAGUUGGUGAGGUAAUGGCUCACCAAGGCGACGAUCCGUAACUGGUCUGAGAGGAUGAUCAGUCACACCGGAACUGAGACACGGUCCGGACUCCUACGGGAGGCAGCGAGUGGGGGAAUAUUGGACAAUGGGCGCAAGGCCUGAUCCAGCAAUCGCCGCGUGUGUGAAGAAGCCUUGGUUAGUAAGCACGUUUAAGUAGG